CCUGUAUUAAUUAUAUCAAUGUAUUUUGUAUUGUAAUUAUUUUUACUAUUUUUUAUUAUAACGGAAAAGAAGUUAUUUGAUUUCGAAUUAUUUGAAUGUAUAAUUUCAUGUUGAUAAUUCUUUUAUAUAGAUAGUAUAGAAGAUACCAUGGCUAUCACAAAAGUUAAUCAUUUAAUUCAUCUUCGUCGAAUUAUGACAAUAAUAUGAAUAGAAUUAUAUUAUAUUAUUUUCGUUACUAUUUUAUGUCACGUGACGAGGUUUCUACUAAACCAAUAUGUCGCAUCGUGUCACGUGAUGUGUCUUUGCUUAAUCUAGCAGUGGGGAUAUUGUGACGUCAUAUAUUUUUCUUACGAGAAAAUUUACAGGGAAUUGUGUUAUUUUUAGUAAUAAAGAGAAUAUCAAUUAGAUAAAUUCUAUAUAUUAUCGUUUAUGUAUUUAAUAUUUUUAUAAAGAAGUGCAAAUGGACAUGUGCGAUCUAAUCUAAUUUCAAAAAAGUAAUAUAAGUGUUAUUUAAAGAUAUUAAAAAGCGCCAGAUUCUGUUUCAAAUAUUCGCAGCAGAAAUCGAGAACACCUAGAAUAUUCAAGUAAUCGGCAGUGACCAGCAACUGGCACACGUUUUCAUUGUUCACAUUGAUCGAUCUCAAGUAAGCGUAUUCGAGGAGCAGAUUCAUCAUGUUGCUGCUGACACCGGGCAAGAGAACAUCCGUUUUUUCGCGCGAAUAUUUUUAAGGAUAUAGAAUAUUUUAAAGAAUAUAAAGAUAUAAAAGAUAAAAGGACAUAAAAUAUAAAACUUUUGUUUAAGUAUUUAUAAUAAAGAGUUUUAAUAAAAGUUUUCAUAAAGAGAAAAUGUUAAAGCAUAGAUAACUUGAACUCAUACUAGACAAGACCUAAAAUAUGGACUGCAAGCUGAUAAAAUGGCCCGGUGAAU